rnacentral:rRNA from 1 species
CGCAUCUGUGCAUGCAGCAUAUCAAUAAGCGGAGGAAAAGAAACUAACAAGGAUUCCCUUAGUAACGGCGAGUGAAGCGGGAAGAGCUCAAAUUUGAAAUCUUCAAGGUUUUACCUUGGACGAAUUGUAGUUUAAAGAAGUGUUUUCUGUUGAAGUUUUGGUAAAAGUUCUUUGGAAUAGGACAUCAUAGAGGGUGAGAAUCCCGUAUUUGACCAUUAUUUUCAGCUGUGUGAUACACUUUCAAAGAGUCGGAUUGUUUGGGAAUGCAGUCCAAAAUGGGUGGUAAAUUUCAUCUAAAGCUAAAUAUUGGCGAGAGACCGAUAGCGAACAAGUACCGUGAGGGAAAGAUGAAAAGAACUUUGAAAAGAGAGUUAAACAGUACGUGAAAUUGUCAAAAGGGAAGCGUUUGACACCAGUGUUGUUUUCUCGAAAAUCAAUUAAAAAGAGUUAGAUUUUGUUGUGUAUUGACCUUAACAGCUUGCAUUUCAAUUUUCUUGCUUUUUUUAAUGCACUUUUCGUUUAACAAGUCAACAUCAGUUUCUUUUGUUGUAAAAAGGUCAUUGGAAGGUGGCUUUCUUUUCGGAGAAAGUGUUUAUAGCCUUUGACUCCUGCAAUCGGAGAGACUGAGGUCUGCAGCGUAGAUCCUUCGGGGUUAGAUACAUUUGUGCUAAGUUAUAGCUUUUUAUAGACAACUUGUUGACUAUGAUUAGUCUUGUAGCUUACUCGCUUAUGCUAUUUUACCUACGCUUAGGAUGUUGAUCUGUAGUGCGUGCGC